CUGAGCUGGGUUUUACAGAGUUACCGCGAGGAUUUCUGUUGUGGGAAAAUACCCAGGAAGUGACUGAGCCCAGCCAGACGUCACUGGAGACAUGCAGAAGAAAAGAUUUUCCCUUGGGAGUUACCCCACAAUGAGUUCUGGGUCUGGUCAAAUCACCCAUUAUUCAAGCCAAAAGGAAUCACAGGAGCAGAAUUUGCAUCUAAAUGAAGGCAACAAGGAGACCAUAGAAAGGUGUUACUUCCCAGACUUUACCAGCUACUAGCUGUCAUGAAACAUCUAAAAAACUGUUUUGAAAGUUAGGAAGUUUUGUCAUUUGGAGAGUGCUAGAUGUCCUGGAGAAUGGGAGAUGAGGUUACAUAAAACUGAAAUGUGCCUAGAAUACUGACUACAAUCAGCUUGAAAUUUCCCCAAGGAAGCCCAUGAGCUGUAAGCGUCUACAGAUCUGGUACUGACAUGCACAAUUUGGCCAUGCCCAGCCUGGCAGGCAUCAGGGCAGCCUCAGAACCUACUCCCUAGUACCCUCUGAUGACUACCUCCAGCAAAAUGCACUUGACUCACCGUCUUCUGCACUGGGGAGCUCAAAUUAUCUCUGUGGGGGAGGUGGAGGCCUUGCCAGACUAUCCACAUUGCUUAACUUCUUAGUCAGUGCUGGAGAGGUUUUAUGUUACAAAGGGUAAUGAAACUUAGCCUGAGGGCCCAGAAUGGUACUACAGUGUACAUUUUGUCAUUGGGUAGCUUCUUUAGCUUUGUAUAAUCAGAAUUUUCCCCUUUCCUUUAUGUAACUGUUUAAAGCAGAAAUCAGAGUCCCUGGCUCCUAAGUUAAUGGCAAGGAGGGGAAAUGGAGGCAGUGAGGAACACUACCUGUGGCAGUAGUCAUUGUCGUCACUUCCUGCCCCUGUCACCAACAUUUCUGCAAGUGGCACAACCAUCUGUCCAUUCAAGACUGGCUAUAUCAUUUGUACAAACCAGCGCAACAUGAAAAUGUGGCACUUCUUAUUCAAAACUUAUCAUGAAUUUCAAGACUGCAACAGCAGAGCGUAAAACCAACUGUGGACCACCCUGAGUUCAAGACCUAAGUAAAUGCUUAGGUUGCAUUCCCAUGAAGCCAGCCCUGUGGCCAUUACUCCCAGCCCACUCUUAAAUUUCCAGCAUUUAAACUAUUUAUGGAGCCUAAGAGUUAUUCUUUUCUCUCUUCCCGAUCUCUCCCAGGGCUGUGUCUAUUCACAAGUUUCAUAUGGAGGUAUCAAAGUAAAGAGAAUGUAGUAGAGAGAAGAAAAUACUUCUGUUAGUCAGGGUUCUCCAGAGAAACAGAACCAACAGGAUGUACAUGUAUAAAGAGUUAUACUAUAAGUCAUUGGUUCAUAUGGGUAUGGAGACUGAGAACUCCCACAAUCUACAGUCAACAAGUUGUAAACCCAGGAGAGCCAAUGGUAUUAUUUUGGCUCAAGUCUAAAGGCUUGAGAACCAAGAGAGCUAGUGGUACAAAUUCCAGUCCAAGUCCUAGUCCAAUAACUGUGUCUAGACUGAAGGCAAGAGAAGAUCAAUGUCCCAGCUCAAAGACAGGCAAGGAGAGCAAAGUCUUCCUUACUCCAUCUUUUUGUUCUAUUCAAGCCUCCAAUGGGUGGGAUGAGGUCCACCCAUCCUGGGGAAGGCAAUCUGCUUCCCUCAGUCUACUGAUUCAAAUGUUACCCUCAUCCAGAAACACCCUCACAGACACACAUCCAGAAUAACAUUUAAUUAAGUACCUGGGCAUCCCCUUACCCAGUCACGUUGAUACAUAAUACUAACCAUCAGAAUGCUUUUCUCUCUUUCCUCUGCCCAUCACUAGAAUUCCCAUGGUCGUUUUAUUCCCUCCAAUAGAAGAUGAAAACUAGGCCUGGCUUUCAAGAUAACAAAGAAGCCUAGGAAUAAAAUCUGCCUAUGCACACUUGCCUCCAGCCUGUCCUCCUUACUCGGAAGUUGGCAGGUUGAUUCAUGGUCUAUACUCCACUAGAAACUUCCUUCUAUUCUGUGCUGGGCAUCAACCCCUCAUGAUUCAGAGUUGUGUUUUCUUGGCUUCCCUGAGCCUAACUACUUGGUACAGCUAAUCCAGCAGAAAAUCUCAGUAGACCAUUCUACACUUCUUCACACCCAUUGCGUAACUAUUUCCAUAGAAACUUCCUGAUAACAAAACUAAACUAUUUUUUCUUUUUUUGGUCAUUUCAUCCAUUUGUGAUACUGGGGCUAGAGCUAACAAGUCAAACAGGAGGAGCCAUGAUAGGUCACUGGAGACAUUUGGGAGCACACAGGGAGUCAGGACUUGCCUGUACUUGCUAGAGGGGUAGGGUUGCUUCCACUAAGAUAUCUUGGCUGCAUCUGCUUGGUGGGGAGGAAAGAGUUUGGUUUUGGAGUAACCCCUGCCUAAAUCAUUGCUAACUCACUCUGUGGCUUUGGACACUUUCCUUAGUACUUCUAUCUGGGCCUCAGUUUCAUCAUCUGCAAAAUAGGGAGGCUGGUAUCUAUGCUCUGAAAUUGCUUUGAAGAUCAUAGAUAAAUGUGUGAAACACCUGGCAUGUAAUAGAGCCUAAGGAAAUAGUUACAGUCCAUCUCCUUGUUCUACAACUAGAUCUUGCUGAUUCAUUCUAAAGAACAGGAGAGAAAUGAGAUGAGCACAUACCCUCAGGGAGGCAUUGAACAGACCAGAUGUGUCUUCCACCUUCAAAAGAGAAUGCAUGGGCUUAGUUAGCCUCUUGCUUUCUUUUCCCCAAAUUACUUCCUCCUGGUUUCCUGCAGCUCAUACCACUCUGGGCAAUCACUGAACCUUACUGACAGUGUGCUCUCGUCCCUCACUCCUUCCAGGGCAAACAUGUCAACACUUUGUGCUCAGAAACAGAGUUUGGGGGCGCUACUGACAUGGCCAAAUUUCACAAAGAAGCACUUGGCUUUGGUUCACGUUUGGCAAUCAGAGAGUAGCUGGGGAUGUUUAGCUGAGAUAUAUGAUUCAGGCAAAAAAAAAAAAAAAAAAAAUCCCCUUUCCCCUUUCUCCAUUUGCAGAACACCAUCCACAAUUGCUUAAUAAUUAUAUGCAUGGGCCAAUAUCAUUCUGCCCCAGACCUCCAUACUGGAGGUCACAAGUCUUGGGGGCAACUAAGAUUUAUUUCCCAUACCCCAUAUAUAAAGGUUAAGAAGGCAAUCCCUCUGGGUUCAAAGGCUCCUCUGGGGUCACUUGAGGUGUCCAUCUGGCUAUAUUUAAUAAGAAAAUAAAACUUGCCUCCUUUCUGUUACCAGGCCCAAGACUGUGUCCUACUGACGCUUCCCUGGCUUCCCUUACUCAAUCCUUCAGGCCUCGUGCUCUGCAGUGGUCGGCCUGCAUGGCUCCCCACUGCAUUUCAACCUCAGGCUGACCAAGGACCUCCUGUGCAGGGUGCAUCUGCAGCAGAGUUGGCAGAAGCUUUCUGUAAAGGGCCACAUAAUUAAUAUUUUAGGCUUUAUGACCCAAGAGGCAAGGCCAAAGAUACCAUUUGUGUAUUAACAUAACACUUUAGGCUGGGCAUGGUGGUUCACAGCUGCAAUCCCAGUACUUUGGGAGUCCAAGGCAGGCAGAUCACUUGAGGUCAAGAGUUCAAGACCAGCCUGGCCACCAUGGUGAAAACCCAUCUCUACUAAAAAUACAAAAUCAGCCAGGCAUGGUGGCAAGCACCUGUAAUCCCAGCUACUCGGGGGGCUGAGGCAGGAGAAUCGCUUGAACCAGGGAGGUAGAGGUUGCAGUGAGCCAAGAUUGCACCACUACACUCCAGCCUGGGCAAUAAGAGUGAAACGUCAUCUCAAAAAUAAAUAAAUAAUAAUAUAACACUUUAAAAUGUAUUUUUGGCCCGGCGUGGUGGCUCACACCUGUAAUCUCAGCACACUGGGAGGCCGGAGCAAGUGGAUUGCUUGAGCUCAGGAGUUUGAGACCAACCUGGGCAACGUGGUGAAACCCUAUCUCUACUAAAAAUACAUAAAUUAGCCAGGCAUGGUGAUGCACACCUGUAGUCCCAGCUACUCGGGAGGCUAAGGUAAAAGGAUUGCUUGAGCCCAGGAGGUCAAGGCUGCAAUGAGCCAAGAUUGUGCCACUGCACUCCAGCCUGAGAAACAGAGUGAGACCCCGUCUUAGAAAAAAAAAAAAAAGGGAUUUUGUUUCUAUUUUUAAUGAUUUUUAAUUUUUAUUUGCAGAGGUUCUAUUUGGCUGUUCAUUUUCAGUAGUCUCUUAUUUUUUGCUCAUCCAUUUGAUAGCAUCUCUUCUGUGUUAAGCAUAUCUAACAUGCUUAAAUUUAUUUCAUAAUUAAUAAUCAAGUAUUUAAAGUGUUUGUCAGCCUACAUCUGCUGUUUGUUGUAUUUUGCUACUUCUUUUUCAUGGUACCUUGUUUUCCCGAGUGUAUUAUGAUUCUUUCCUUCAAUUGCGAGCUGCAGUUCAAUAGAAUUUUAUAUCUGGAAAUCUUUUAUUUUUUAUUUUUGUGAGUACCUAGUAAGUGUAUAUAUUUAUGGGGUACAUGAGAUAUUUUGAUAUAGGCAUAUAAUGAUGUGUAAUAAUCACAUCAGUGAAAAUAGGGUCUCUAUCCUCUCAAGCAUUUAUCUUUUGUGUUACAAACAAUGCAGUUACACUCUUUUAGUUAUUUUUAAAUGUACAGUUAAAUUGUUAUUGACUAUAGUCACCCUAUUGUGGUAUCAAAUACCAGAUAUUAUUCAUUAUGUCUAAGAUGUGGGAAUCUCUGAGGCCUGUGAUAACAGUGGUUCCUUCAGUGAGGAUUUGUGCUUGUUUCUAGACUUGAGAGUACUCCCAACUCUGAGCCACAUUAAAACACAUUUUCAUCUAGGAUUUUUCAAACUGUACUUAUAUUAUAAAUUUGGUUACAAGCCUGCAUAAAGCUAAUCUAUAGUUAUACAUUCUCAGAUGUUUCCCUACCAUCAGAGUGAACAGGCAACCUACAGAAUGGGAGAAAAUUUUUGCACUCUACCCAUCUGACAAAGGGCUAAUAUCCAGAAUCUACAAAGAACUUAAACAAAUUUACAAGAAAAAAUCAAACAACCACAAAAAGUGGGCAAAGGAUAUGAAAAGACACUUCUCAAAGGAAGACAUUUAUGCAGCCAAAAGACACAUGAAAAAAUGCUCAUCAUCACUGGUCAUCAAAGAAAUGCAAAUCAAAACCACAAUGAGAUACCAUCUCACACCAUUUAGAAUGGCGAUCAUUAAAAAGUCAGGAAACAACAGGUGCUGGAGAGGAUGUGGAGAAAUAGGAAAGCUUUUACACUGUUGGUGGGACUGUAAACUAGUUCAACCAUUGUGGAAGACAGUGUGGCGAUUCCUCAAGGAUCUAGAACUAGAAAUACCAUUUGACCCAGCAAUCCCAUUACUGGGUAUAUACCCAAAGGAUUAUAAAUCAUGCUACUAUAAAGACACAUGCACACAUACGUUUAUUGCGGCACUAUUCACAAGAGCAAAGAAUUGGAACCAAGCCAAAUGUCCAUCAAUGAUAGACUGG
rnacentral:lncRNA from 10 species